rnacentral:rRNA from 1 species
CGGCAAUGGAGGAAACUCUGACCGAGCAACGCCGCGUGAACGAUGAGUAUUUCGGUAUGUAAAGUUCUUUUAUUGAAGAAGAAAAAAUAGUGGAAAAACUAUCUGACGUUAUUCAAUGAAUAAGCCCCGGCUAACUAUGUGCCAGCAGCCGCGGUAAGACAUAGGGGGCGAGCGUUAUCCGGAAUUAUUGGGCGUAAAGGGUGCGUAGGCGGUUAGGAAAGUCUAUAAUUUAAUUUCAGUGCUUAACGCUGUCUUGUUAUAGAAACUACCUUGACUAGAGUUAGAUAGAGGCAAGCGGAAUUCCAUGUGUAGCGGUAAAAUGUGUAAAUAUAUGGAGGAACACCAGAAGCGUAGGCGGCUUGCUGGGUCUUGACUGACGCUGAGGCACGAAAGCGUGGGUAGCAAACAGGAUUAGAUACCCUGGUAGUCCACGCCGUAAACGAUGAGUACUAAGUGUCGGGAUAAAACUCGGUACUGAAGUUAACACAUUAAGUACUCCGCCUGAGUAGUACGUACGCAAGUAUGAAACUUAAAGGAAUUGACGGGACUCCGCACAAGCGGCGGAUCAUGUUGUUUAAUUCGAAGAUACACGAAAAAUCUUACCAGGUCUUGACAUGCUCUGCAAAGCUAUAGAAAUAUAGUGGAGGUUAUCAGGGACACAGGUGGUGCAUGGUUGUCGUCAGUUUGUGUCGUGAGAUGUUAGGUUAAGUCCUAAAACGAGCGCAACCCUUGUCGUUAGUUACCAGCACGUAAUGGUGGGCACUUU